AUGAACGCUGGCGGCGUGCCUAACACAUGCAAGUCGAGCGAAGCGCUUAAAUUAGAUUUCUUCGGAAUGACGAUUUUUGUGACUGAGCGGCGGACGGGUGAGUAACGCGUGGGUAACCUGCCUCAUACAGGGGGAUAACAGUUAGAAAUGACUGCUAAUACCGCAUAAGACCCCAGCUUCGCAUGAAGCGGUGGUAAAAACUCCGGUGGUAUGAGAUGGACCCGCGUCUGAUUAGCUAGUUGGUAAGGUAACGGCUUACCAAGGCGACGAUCAGUAGCCGACCUGAGAGGGUGACCGGCCACAUUGGGACUGAGACACGGCCCAGACUCCUACGGGAGGCAGCAGUGGGGAAUAUUGCACAAUGGGGGAAACCCUGAUGCAGCGACGCCGCGUGAAGGAUGAAGUAUUUCGGUAUGUAAACUUCUAUCAGCAGGGAAGAAAGUGACGGUACCUGACGAAGAAGCCCCGGCUAACUACGUG
rnacentral:rRNA from 1 species